rnacentral:rRNA from 1 species
GAUGAACGCUGGCGGCGUGCCUAAUACAUGCAAGUCGAGCGAAGCGGGGACGGGUGAGGAACACGUGGAGAACCUCCUAUAUGACUGGGAUAAAUUCGGGAAAACGGAACUAAAACUGCUACUUAUCGCACGAUCCGGGCUGCAUUGGGUAGUUGGGAAGGUAAAGGCUUACCCAGGCAACAAUGGAUAGCCGAACUGAGCGGGUGAUCUGCCAGUCGGGAACUGAGAAAAGGUCCAGACUCCUACGGGAGGCAGCAGGAGGGAAUCUUCCGCAAUGGGCGAAAGCCGGACGGAGCAACGCCGCGUGAGUGAUGAAGGUCUUCGGAUCGUAAAACUCUGUUAGUAGGGAAGCGGUACCUAAUCAGAAAGCAACGGCUAACUACGUGCCAGCCGCCGCGGUAAUUC